GCUUGGAUGGUGGAAUGGUAGACACUGGGGACUUAAAAUCCCCUGGGUGAAUAACCCGUGCGGGUUCGAGUCCCGCUCCGAGCA
rnacentral:tRNA from 1 species